UGAUAGAUUUCAGUCCAGUUUGCCCAUGAUUUCUCACCACAAUCCUUGAAUAUUAAGCACAAGAAAAGAGUUAAUAUAGGAAUAUUUUCCAGCAGAAUCAGAGCGUCAGUUCCCCUCUGUAGCUAGUUAACCAGCCAGGGCAGUUCACUGGUACCUGUUGCUCCACUCACUCCAGAAGGAAUGAGCCUGUCUUCAUCAUGAGUCCAGGUAUCUUGUACAUUAAUGCAUUUCUAAGUAGCUAUCUGGAGUCCUGCUGUCAGUAUUAUGAGCACAGUUUGUGCAGCCCUUAAGAUAAACUAUCAUCAAAGGACAAGAAGAAAUAAUACCAAAAAGUCCCCCUCUAAGGAAAACCAGACUCCUUGUCCAUGCAUGCUGUUUGUUUUUUUCACUUGUCUCAAAGGUAUAUGGUUGGAGUACAAUUUUAAGUUUAAUGAGCAGCAACAGAAAUUCAAAAAACAGAAAGCUAUGGCAUCUUUGUGCAACGACAGCAUGGCAGUGUUAAGACAAGUAUUGAGAUGAAAGAUUUGGUGCCAGUGUUAAACCAGGUUAUGGGUUGAAAAGGCUCGUUUGUUUUCUAAUAAGAGAUACUCUGCAUGUAGGUCAAGAGAACACUUCCUACCCUUCACCCAUCUCAAUUCCAGUAUCAUAACCCUCAGCUGCAAGGUUCUUCUAACAAUAGUGGCUAAUUAAAGACAUGACAGUAAGAUCUACAACUUUAAAAACUCAAACUUCCUUAUUAUUAUACAAUAAUUACGACUCCUGCACGUUUCUGAGUAUGUCAAUAUAGCAUUUGUCCUUGUUGCCAUGAUCAGUCCAAGACUGUUCCCAGUAAGUUGCAUGACAAGAUCCACAGGUUUGGACAAGCUACUUUAUUACUUCUGCAAUCAAAUCACAUCCAUUUUUGCAUUUUGGUUCAAAAAUUAAGCUUUUCUUUAUUCUAGAUAAAACUGAGGAAUAUCUAUUUCGCUUUCUUUUUUCCUUUUAAAAGAAAAAGUAGCACAAAUCAGAACAAUUUUUAAGCCUUUUAAAACAGCCAAUCUGUGCACCAAACACACCAAUCUACUUAAAAGAGAACUCACUGUAGCAUGACUCAGAAGUGUGACAGUUGGGCCCACAUAAAUUCUUUGUUGUUAGGAAACUCUCAUUAAAUAUAAUGAGUUUUACAAGUUCACUUGAG
ensembl:lncRNA